CAGGAAAUAGUUAAUGACAGAGCUGCCCCCAACAUGGUAUUUGAGAGCUGUUUUCUCAGAAUGGGCUGACAUGGAUUGGUGGCUGGGGUGGAAAAAGGCCUGAGACCAGCAUUGUUUCACCUCUCUGUUUCCUAUAUCUUCCUUUUCCUUUUUUUUUUUUAUUUUUUUUGCUUCUUGUGGGUUUUUUUUUGGUGGGGUUUUCUUGUGUUUUGGUUUGGUUUGGUUUUGUUUCUUCUGUGGGUUUUAUUUUUGUUAAGGCUGACCUUCUUAGCUGAGAACAGACUAAGUAUGUCCAAAGCAACUUAGCAGCUGGUGAAGAUAAAGCCAGCACUGUCAGAAAACAGCAGAACAGAGGUAUAGAGGUAUCUUUGCAGGUUGAAAUGAAGGAUAGGAGAGCAACAUUUGGAUUUAAAAAAAAAAAAAUAACCUUGAACCUCUCCCCAAAGUCUGAUUUAAACAUGAAUCUCAUUUAAAUAAAAAAAAAAAAAAAACGCAAAAAAGUAUAAUUCACUGAGCCUUUUUUAUGCAGUGUCUGCAGUUCCUGUUCUGGGGAAGCAAUGAGCUAAAGACAGUCAGAGUGCAAGAGAAUGGUGCUGACUACAAACAUCACCUGCACAGGGGGCAGAAGCAGAGAGAUCAUUAACUUUUCCCCCCAGUUUGUGCCUUGUCCCCUGCCUGGUGUGCUGGAUUGAUCAUCAGGUGGAUUAUUAUCCCCUUGAAAGUGCUGACAGACAUAAUUCUUUGCAGCAGCACCAGAGACAGGCUCCUUACAUACGAGGUUAGAUCAACCCAUGUCUUUGUUUAAUAUUUUGUGAGGUCCUGGUGAGGAAUAAUAUUCCCUGUUAAUCCCUGAUUUAGGUAGAGCAUGCCAGGAUGAAGCUGCUUUUCACAAGGGAGUGUUUCUUGGUGGGCACUGUCUCACACAAGAAGUAGAUGAUGUGGGAAUGGAGGACUGAGGAGGAGAAAUGACACAUGGUUCAGCCUGAAUAGAUGGCCAGGCAAAGAAAAGUGCAGUAAAUUGCUUGCAAAUCAGGUGAGCAGCAGCUCCAGCAGAGCCCUGUUGUGGCUGUUCAAGGCACUGAAAUUUCAGAUGGAAGAAGUAGAGAAGGGAUGUUUGGAAAGAGCAUCUCUUAGAGCAAAGAGACAAAGGUCAGGCUUUCAUAAGGGUGAACAGCAAGGCCAGC
rnacentral:lncRNA from 1 species